CCCGCUGAACUUAAGCAUAUUAUUAAGCGGAGGAAAAGAAACUAACUAGGAUGCCCUCAGUAACGGCGAGUGAAGCGGGCAAAGCUCAACCUGAAAAUCGGGUUUCCGAACGGGAUCUCGAAUUGUGGGCUACAGACGUGUGAUCAGUGUGUGACCCGGGUAUAAGUGUCGUUGGAAAACGCUAUCACAGAGGGUGACAAUCCCGUCCGUGACCUGGAGUUCGCCGCGUACGAUCCAUGUUCGCAGAGUCGCGUUGUUUGGGAUUGCAGCGCUAAAUGGGUGGUAAAUUUCAUCUAAAGCUAAAUAUCGACGAGAGACCGAUAGCGAACAAGUACCGUGAGGGAAAGAUGAAAAGAACUUUGAAAAGAGAGUUAAAAAGUACUUGAAAUUGCUAAGAAGGAAGCACUGGAAAUCAGUAGUGGUAUUGUGUAUUUUUAAUGCCUGCUCCUGGACUCGGUUCUGUUCGGUGAGCCCAAAGCCACCAGCAGUUCUGACGAAAAUGUGGGCAUGUCGUGCACGAUAUCGGGUGAGCAUCAGUUUGCUGCGCCGGAGAAAGCUUGUGACACGGUAGGUGGCCGGUAGCAAUAUCGGCUCACUGUUUAGGUUGCGAGUGCUACGGUGCGGUGGACUGAGGAACCUACUGACGCGCUACCAGCGAGUCCUGAUCCCCCGGUUGGUCAUAGAGCUUGGACAACAAAGUUGUGCGGCUCUAGAAGCCUUCUGCUGGGUUCUUUGACUUAGCCGCAGCGUCGUGAUGCUCACGAAAUGAUUUUCAUUGACCCGUCUUGAAACACGG
rnacentral:rRNA from 1 species